AACAUCGCGCACCUGCGGGAACCUGCGGAGGGAUCAUUACAGAGUUGCAAAACUCCCUAAACCAUUGUGAACGUUACCUAAACCGUUGCUUCGGCGGGCGGCCCGGGUCCUUCCCGGCGCCCCUCGGCCCUCGCGGGCGCCCGCCGGAGGUAAACCAAACUAUUGCAUUGUAUGGCCUCUCUGAGUCUUCUGUACUGAAUAAGUCAGAACUUUUAACAAUGGAUCUCAGAUCGGAAGAGC
rnacentral:misc_RNA from 1 species